rnacentral:lncRNA from 1 species
AAUAUUUUGUUUGUAUUCGACAAACAUAAGAUCCUCAUCGAUAUUUAGCGCUAUCAUAGAUGUCGUCGACGAACAUUUUAUAUCGGUUCCAGUAAUUUCAUAAAGACAUAACAUGGAGAUCUCUUUAUUCAUAUAUUCAGGUACCUAAUCUCUCAUGAGAUUUUAUGAAGUGUUAUGUCAUGUGAUCUUCUAGAUCACUUGCCUCCC